AGACCAAAAACUCAAAGAUAGUCUAAUCAGUGUUCUCAUUAAUAGUGAAGAUCCUCACUACUCUUCAGAAAAUGAAUAUGAAGGAGAUGAAGACCAAGAUGUAAAUCUGGUCGAAUACUCAUCUGAUUCUCAUUCCUCUUCAGAAGAAGAAAGAGAAUGUGUUAAAGAUAGUUCAGGAUUCUGUGAUUGUGCAGGAUGCUUAGGACAAAACGUCAAUAUGCUAACCCAAGAUCAAACUAUGAGUUUAAUCUCUAUAAUAGACAAAAUGGAGGAUUCUCCCUUAAGGGACGAAUUUCUACAACAACUAAAUCUUUUGGUCAAGAAGGAACAAACCUUGAAAAAGGAAAUUAGUCCUCCAAUAAAUAGCAUGAAUGAAAUCUUUAAUAGAUUUCGUCCUAAACCAACCAUAACCUUAUCAGAUCUUCAAGAAGAAGUGAAAAUAUUAAAAGAAGAAGUUAACCAAUUAAAGCAAAAUGAUCUUAGCUUAGAGUUCAGAUUAAUGGAAAUAGCUGGGAUAAAAAUUAUAGAAUCUCAAGAAACCUUAGCCAGUACCUCAGGAUUAAAGCAAAUACAUAAUGAAGAAGAAGAAGAACCCAGUGAAAGUUAUCUUAAUCUCCUCAACUUGGUUAUAACCCAUAAAUGGCACUCUGAAAUAACUUUAGUCAUUAAUAAUGAUUUUCGAAUCAAUAUAAUAGCCCUCAUUGAUAGUGGCGCAGAUAUCAAUUGUAUUCAGGAAGGCUUAGUCCCCACUCAAUUUUAUGAGAAAACCAAAGAAGGAGUCAAUAGUGCAAAUGGAUCCAAAAUGAAUAUUCAAUACAAACUAUCAAAUGCAAAGAUUUGCAAAAGCCAAGUUUGUUUUAGAUCUUCAUUUGUCCUAGUCAAAAACAUGACAGAAAAAAUCAUUUUAGGAACUCCAUUCAUUUGUCUUCUAUACCCUAUUGAUAAAAUAGAUGAAAAAGGAAUAGUCACAACAGUCUUAGGAAAGACUAUUACUUUUCCAUUUAUAAAACCUCCUCAGGUAAAAGAAUUAAAUUUAUUAAAGGAAAUCUCCACCUCCAAAAUAAAUAUAAUCUCUAGAAAAAAGAAUCAUAUCAAUUCUUUUCAAAAAGAAAUAAAAUAUUAUAAAUUAGAAGAACAGCUCAAGAGAUCCAAUAUUCAAAAGAUUAUUAAGGAUUUUCAAGAUCGAAUAGAAAAAGAUCUAUGUGAUUUAAAUCCCAUGGCCUUUCAUCAUAGAAAAAUACAUACCAUAACAUUACCAUACAUAGACGGGUUUAAUGAGAAAGACAUCCCUACCAAAGCCCGGCCCAUUCAAAUGAAUGAACAAUAUUUAAAAUAUUGUAGAGAAGAAAUAGGAGAAUAUCUCAACAAGGGCCUGAUUCGCCACUCCAAAUCUCCUUGGAGUUGCACAGGGUUUUAUGUCAUGAAUGCAUCUGAGUUAGAAAGAGGAGCCCCUAGAUUAGUCAUUAAUUACAAACCCUUAAACAAAGUAUUAAAAUGGAUAAGAUAUCCAUUGCCUAAUAAAACAGAUCUCAUUAAAAGAUUACAUAAAGCAACAAUAUUCUCAAAAUUUGAUAUGAAGUCAGGAUAUUAUCAAAUUUCGGUCAAGGAAGAAGAUCGAUAUAAAACCGCCUUCGUUGUCCCUUUUGGUCAUUAUGAAUGGAAUGUAAUGCCACAAGGUUUGAAAAAUGCACCUAGUGAAUAUCAAAACAUCAUGAAUGAUAUAUUCUAUCCAUACAUGGACUUUACCAUUGUAUAUCUAGAUGAUGUCUUAGUAUUCUCAAAAGGCAUAGAUCAGCAUGUUCAACAUUUAGAAAAAUUUAUAGAAAUCAUUAAGAAAAAUGGAUUAGUAGUUUCAGCAAAAAAGAUGAAAAUCUUUGAAACCAAAACCAGAUUUUUAGGAUAUGAAAUUCAUCAGGGACAAAUUACCCCAAUACAAAGAUCGUUAGAAUUCGCCAAAAACUUUCCAAAUGAAUUAAAAGAGAAAACUCAAUUACAAAGAUUUCUAGGUUGUGUUAAUUAUGUAGCAGAUUUUAUCCCCAACAUAAGGAUAAUUUGUGCCCCUUUGUUCAAAAGACUUAGGAAAAACUCUCCGCCAUGGUCUGAAGAAAUGAGCCAUAGUGUUAGAGAAGUCAAAAGAUUAGUUCAAAGCCUACCUUGUUUAGGAAUACCAGAUCCAGAUGCUUCAUUAAUUAUAGAAACCGAUGCAUCAGAAUUAGGAUAUGGUGGGAUACUUAAGCAGGUAAAACCUCAGUCUUCAAAAGAACAAAUAGUUAGGUUCCAUUCAGGUAUUUGGCACCCAGCUCAACAGAAAUAUUCCACAGUCAAAAAAGAAGUUCUUUCAAUAGUUCUAUGUGUUCAAAAAUUUCAAGAUGAUGUUUUUAAUAAAAAAUUUUUGAUAAAAACUGAUUGCAAAGCAGCACCUUCAGUUUUACAAAAGGAUGUUCAAAACCUAGUUUCAAAACACAUUUUUGCCAGAUGGCAAUCUUUACUUUCUUGCUUUGAUUUUGAAAUAACUCAUAUUAAAGGAGAUAGUAACUCCCUUCCAGAUUUUCUAACCAGAGAAUUUUUACAGGGAAAACAUGAGUGAUACAAAACCCAAAUCAAAGGAUCAAUAUGGACCCCCACUGGGUUCGUCAGCAUCAUCAUCACCAUCAGGAUCAAAAGCAAUAGUAGUAACCCCUAUCAAGGUUGCUGAAUCUUUAAUACCAACCACCCCUUCAAAGCCUUCUCAAAAACUCACCACAGCUCAAAUUGUCAAAACACCUCACCAAAAAACCUCAUUAGUCCCAUUAACCAAUAAAUAUACAGUAUUAGCUCAAAGCCCUUCAAAAUCCCCUGCCAAACCCGAGCCAACCGAAUAUCUGGAAAAACCAGAAGGUGAGCCAUCUCUCAUUAUAGAAAGAGAACAUUUCUCUUUAAGUCCUAGAGAAAUAGCCACUCAAUUAUUCCCUACCAACUUUCAUUAUGUCCCUGGACACCCCAAGAAGACCAGAUUAUUUUAUGAAUUCAUUCUAGUAGACUCUGACUCCAUAGAAGUCACACAUAACCAAGAUAAACAAGGAGAAAUAGCGUUCUCCAAGAUCAAAAUCCUUAAAGUCCUUACACCCCAGGAUUGGAAUGCUCCUCUUCAUUAUUUUAAGCAGUUUUCUAGACAGUUCGACCCUCCUAGUUAUAACUACUUUGAUUAUACAGAUGCCUGGUAUUACGCCUUGUAUCUUUAUCCUUAUCAACACUCCUGGUUCAUUUGGUUCAAAAAGGGAAUCUCUUUAAAGUUCCCUCAAUGGUUUAAAGUUUGGUUUUGCAAGGUAGGGCUCGAUGAGUCUAUCUUUCCCGAAGAAGUAAAACCAUUAUUCAAGUACUUUGCUCAAAAGUCAAAUUUCAUUAUGGAAGACAAACUCCUCAUGUUCACAGCUUCGCAAGCCAUAUCUUGGAUUUUAACCUGGGAUUGGAGAACUGUAGAAAUUUAUGAGGAUACAGAACUCUAUCAGCUCUAUCGCAUUUUUAAAAUAAAAUGGUGGGCAAAAUUCAAUAUCUCUCUAAUUCAACAGACAAAACUUGAAGCUUGGAUAAAGACUUAUCAGCUUACUCAACAAAGCAAGAAACAGCUGUCAACUACCCCUGUUUCUCGUCUCAAUCAAGAAAGUUCAUUUCUUCAAGAAAGAUCAAGGCUCAUAGCCGAAUUAGCCGCAGCAAGCUCUCCCCAAGAAUUUCAAAAGAAGAUAGAUAUGAUGAGUCAGAAGUCUGGCUCAGAUACUUCAUCAGUCAACAGCCAGAACUACCUUCAAGAAAAUGAAGAUGACUGUUUAGGCAUCAACUAUCAUCCAUACACUUAAGGACAAAAGGUCAUUAUCAGCCCUUCUCAUCAUGAUCAAGAAAGAAUCUGCUUUCUAAUAUUGGCCGACAAGGAAUCCACUUUCAUUAUUAAAGUUACUAUCCUUUUUCAUUAUUAAAGUUACUUUUCAUUAACUGUAGUUACUUUUAUGUAAACCAGAGUUACUUUCGAAAGUAACUAUGGUCAAAACUUGUAUAAAUAGGUAGCUUAGUAAGAGUAAGAGGCAUCGGGUUUUUGACCUACCUCUCUCUCUCUCUCUUACCUACCUCUCUCUCUAUGUGUGUAAUCCCUGCAGUUCUUUGAAUAAAAGCUUUUCUGUAAGUACUUUUCCAUCAUGUUUUUUUUUAGCUUCCGUAAAUUCUGGUAUCAGAGCCUUCUCCCGUGAGGGAAGGGUUCUGGAAUCAGUAGUUAGUUUAUAUAUAUAUAUAUAUAUAUAUAUAUGUGUGUGUGUGUGUGUGUGUGUGUGUGUGUGUGGGCGCCCGCGCGUGUGAUAACUGAUAAGAGACCACUGACAUUUACAUUGCAUUUGGAUAUAGUAUGCAUGCCCCACAAGUGGAGUUGGGAAAUAAGAGUUGUAGAGAUAAGAAUUUGGAGCAUGUACGAGAACCAGUGGCGGAACCAGAAAUUUUGUGAAGCCUGGGCAAUAUUUUUAACCGCAAUGGAUGGUGGCUGCGGGUGGCGACCAAUCAGCAGGCGGCAGCCGGCGAACGGGCGAAGGAAGGAGGAGAAAGUGGGUUCAGGGCUUCAGGCCAAACGCGUAUGUGUGCGGCUAAAGAAUUGAGUGUGUGUUUGGAUUAACGUUAGCAUGAUUAGAUCUGACCAGAAUUGGAUCUGGUAAACGUGAGACGUGAGUUUGAGUGAUUUAAUUUAUGCUUAGAUACAUAGGUGAACCUAAUAUGCACCAGUUUUAGGUGGUGUAAUUUUACACCACCUACUUUAACUGGGUAUAGCAGGUCAACACAUUAUUUUUUUUAAGAAAAAAUAUAAUUAAAAAUUUAUCAUAUAUUAAAUAUCUUUAAAAAAAGAUGCCUUGACCUGUUAUAGCAGGUUAAAAAAAGUGGUCUAAAAUUAGACCACUUUAAAAGUGGUCCACAUUAGGGGUCACCUAGAUACAUUGUGAGAAACGAGAUUCUUGUAAGAGAAUUUUGUUUAGAUAUUAGAAUUGAUUUUGAGUGUGUAAUGACGAAAAUUGAUACAAAUAUUAUAAUUAAUAUACAUGCUUUGGAGAAAUUAUUUUUAAUGAGAAAUAAACAGAUUAUAUAAUUAUUAAAUAUUGUAAAUAAACGUUUUUUUUUUUGAAAUGUAUUGUAAAUAAACGUUUGUUGGUUUGUUUUGAGUUUUAAAAAAAAUUAUUGUAAACAAACACAAUGAAAAAUAAACAUGAUGACAGUUGUACCCCUCCACUAAGCUCCAACAAUCCCAGCCACAAGUAUCUUAUCUUUUUAUUCAUUGCAAAGCAGUCUAACCACCUCUGUCCUUCCCCUGUGUUCGUUGUUCCUGUUUUUUCCACUCUUUUCUCAAUUAUGUUUUUUCUCUUUUCUUCUCCUUUGAACCUGAAUCUGUAUCUGUUCUUUUUAGCACUUCUUGUGCAUUAUAUAUAUAAUAUUAUUGGCUUACCCAAAAAAAAUCCUUCCAUACUCCACAUCUGUCUUUUUCAACAAACCACAAUUCCCUUUAAAAAAAACACCCACAAUUCACCUCCUUCUCUCUUUUUUUUCUUUCUGCAACAAACAACGACAAUUAGCUUUCUUGAUGCUGGAAUUUCUACCUAAAGUAUUGUGCAUGGAGAGAACAAAAGUGGAUGAGAGUUGCAGAGUGAAAGAACAAGAAUGCAGAAGCUAAGAUUUCCAGCUUCGGUCAGAUCCGAUUUUGGGAGAGAAAAUCGAUUUUGAAGAAACCACCCACAGGCCGCUACCCCUGCUUCACUCACCCUCACCCACAUAUACAACCCUCUUCACAGUUCACUCACCCUCAUCCUCCUUCACCCAAUCACCCUGCUUCACCUUCACCCAAUUUUGCCCUUUCUCUCUUCUUUUUUUGGACCCAAAUGCUUAUCUGGUCCAAAGAAAAAAAAAUUAUUUCCUUUGAGCCUGGGCAAGGGCCCAGGCAAGCCAGGUGGUGAAUCCGCCCCUGACGAGAACGCAGAAAGAUUAAGAUGUUUACUAGCUCCAGUUGUAGCAACAACUUUUGUUUAUGUUCACAUGCAUAUCGUUAACUUAGAUUACACUAAUAAGAAACCUUUAGUUCAAGUUGAUGCCAAAGCUUAUAUAACUGAUUAUUCAAGCUGUUGCCUAAUGUCCAUGCAUCCACUGAUCCUUAUUCCUUAAUAUUGAUGUGUGACUGUCUCUAAAAGCAACAAAGCUAGAAAUGUUUUGAAGCUUUUUAUAUGUCAUGACCUCUGAUUAUUGGUCGAUUUUAGCUAUUUGCAAAAGUAAAUUCUCCUGGCAGAACAACUUGCAAACUUUUCAACUAAUUUACCAGUGACUGGAUAUAUGCUUUUUGAUUAGGCAAUAAUUAUUAGUUUCAUUUUGUCUGUUCCCCAACAAACUUUCCAUUCACUUAUUUCUCAUUUUAACCUACCGCACUUUAUAGGUAAUAAAACAAGAGGAAAAUCAUUAUUAGUACAUAUAUCUCUUUGUUUUUGUUUUGUCCCUCGCACAAAUAGAAUUAUAGGAAAAAGUAUGACACAAUGACGCUCAAAAUCUUUUCCCAUCAUACACCAUGCUUGAAUUUCAAUGGUGCCUAGUUGUUUGUUUGGGAAUUAACAGGCAAGGGUGCAAUAUGUGCUAAGCAAGAACCAACUAGUGGGUGUUCAGUUCCAUGUCGAUGAAGUUCAAACAUGGAACCACAAUUCAACCUAAGGUGAUUUAGUUUGAUAUGGAAGAGUGGCUGAAUAAAAGGAUUUUUUUCUAAUUUAUAAAAAAAAUUAAAUGUGCGUGAAAAUUCCAGGUGGGGGAAGAUAAUUUAAGUGCCACCUGAGAGGCAGGUCCCGCAUGGAUUUGAUUUCUAAACUUUGCUAAAGUCAUUUGGCCUUUGGUGGUUCAAGAGGUUACUGGGUUUCACUUAAGGAGUUUAUGGCGAGGUGUAACGGCGAUGGCGACUCAAAGGGUGAUCGGAGAAACGAUGAUGACUCGAUGAAGGAGGCAACAUCACUAUUUAGGUGGUUGGAGGCUAGGUUUUUUGGUUUGGCUAGCAAGGGAGGAUAGAGUGGGUCGGUUUGCAUCUAGUAAGGAAGAAAUAUUGUAGACCAUAAUAGAGAGGGAGGUUGGGACAAGAUUUGGUUUGUCGGAGUAGAAGGUUUUGCUCACGAUGGCUAGUGUUGCGAUGACGAUUGAAAUGAGGUGUGGUUUGUCAAAGAUCCAAUAAUAGUGGUGAUGACCCCUGUAUUAUUGACAAUUAUUGAUUUUAGUCUUUUUUCUACUUAAACCCCCCUGUGAAUUCGAAACAGAUAUCUCAAUCUCUGAAAACUAAAAUAACAAAUAAAUUACAUUCAAAAUGGGAAAAUACUAAACUUUUUAGGUAUGACUAUUAAUCCUCUUUCAGGAACUUCAGACCAAAAGAAAAAAAUUCAGGAAUUCAACUGAAAAACAAGAUACUAAAGUUAAUGAUUUUCAAUAAUACAGAUACCUAAAAAAUUUACUGCUACAAAACUAAACCAAUGAGAAGUUAACAACCGAAUAUUAUUGGAGUGACUAGAAUAUCAAAGCGCACCGCGCAAUAGCUAAGUCGAAAAAUUGCUAAGCAACUUGAAAUGAACAAACUUUCAGGCUCAAGAGUGCCAGUGAAAGAUAACAUAUUCCGAAGCCCAACAGUGAAAACAUUACCUUCGUUUGCUAACUUGUGGUCGAUAAACCACAACCAUAUCCCUACCCUCCAAUAAUACAAGAAAAAUAUCAUGUUCAACAUAUGCAAAACCUAUCAUAAAACAUAAAUGUUUACAAAAUCCUGUUAGCCUAUUACCACAUCAAUCCAUAUCUCCAACAAUGAACAUGGCACAAGGCUUCAUUCGUGAUGUUCAGUAAUACGCCUUGCGAGGAUUGUUCUGUAAAAACAAAACAAUUACAACAUGAGAACAGGUUAAGUAACUCACCGUGUCACCACUGCAAAACGGUUCAGAAUAGAGAGGUCAUUUACCAGAGGAUUGGGUCUGUGACGGUAGCCAAGCAUCAUGCGCUUUUUGUACUGCUCAUAUAUGUCAUCUUCAGAAGUCACCUCCCCAGGUUGGACAGCACCUACUCCCAAGUGAUCUUUCUUAACAUUUCCCGCCAUGAUAGGAUCCGAAAUACCCUUCCUGGAGCCGCCUAAACCCUCACCUGGAUAUAAGAUUAUAAUAAUGGUUAGCAGUGCAAGAUAUCACGGAUAUAUAAAUUUAUAAAUAUCACAUAAAUGUAAUUAUCAUGUAAUAGUCUUCAAUAAUAUAUAACAAAUUAUUUAAAUCAGACAAGGCAAAAACUUGAAGCAAGUUCUGUAGUUACAUUCCAUAUCAAAAGGCAAAUUUUCUUAAACAUGCUAACAUAAAAUGCAUUAAUGAUUCAUUAAUCCUCUUGAAAGGCAUAAAACUGAGAAAAGUAUACAGCACCUUCUUUCCAACCCAUUUUUGAUAGAAGCUUGUGGCCCACAUUAUCCGCCUGGAUUUUGGCCUUCUCUGCAGUCUCCUUCAAAACUUUCUGUGCUCCAGCAUCAUUACAGCUAGCCAUGAACUUCUCAAGUUCUUCAAGGGGAAUAUAAUCACCCAUAUGAUGGCCUUUCUUCCCUGAAUCCAAAAGGAAGCAAUCAUAAGAUUACUCCAUUGAAACAAAGACUAGAAUUCAGACCGUUUUAACUAAAAUGUAUCCAGGACCAAGAAACACUCGGUCACGAUUGCACUCAAAAUUUGUACCUUGAAGAGAAGCAGGAGGGGGCAUCUCAUCUUUUGACUGCUUAGGUUGUUUUGACCUUUCUUCCCGUGCAGCUUUCUUCAUGUAGAACUCCAUUAGUGCUAAAGAAUCAGCAUUUGAUGAUCCACUGGGCUCAGCUGCAACAGAUAUAUAAAAAUGCAUGCGUCAACAAAAAAGUUACACACAAAACCUAUGAGAAGAUUUUCUAGAACUGAAACAGUCCCUAUAUCUCCACAUCUUUUAAAUGCAAUGCAACUAAGCAAUUUUGAAUCAACCAAACCUUGAUCUAAUUCAAAAUGACAGUUAAAUGCCAGAUUAAACAGAUGAAUCAAAGAAGAAAAAUACAAAACCAAAUCAACCCUGCUGUAUAUAUAUCCCUUACCAGAGCUUACAACUGAUAAUGCUUGCACUGAAGAUCCCGAAGUUCUUGGUACAUCACCACUUUCAUAUAAAGCAGAAGCAGGGAUUUGGUAAGUUGGCCGCUGCUCAGAAGACCUCUGAGGACCAUUUGCUGGUCUGGAAGACGAUAUGCUUGUACCCAGUGGCGGAACUAGAAAAAAUAUAAUGAGGGGGCUAAAUUAAAAUAAAAUAUUAAACAUAAAUUAAAGAUUUUUAUUUCGAAUGGACUUAUAUAGACAUAUAUACAUAAAAAUUAAUGACUAAACUAAAUUAUAUACUUAUUGAAAAUUUAUUAUAAGUUAUACUAAUAAUAUUCUUUUAGUUAUUAGAGAAAUUUAUAUAUUAAUGUUAUGCUCUAAGACUAUUAGCUUUUCUUUGUACCAAAAAAAGACUAUUAGCUUUCCUCUUGCAAUAAAAUAAUAUUUUAAUUCUUGCACUAAUUAAUUGUACAAAUUUACAUACCUAGAAAAAACACAAACAAGCUUGUCAAAAUGGAAUAUAAUUAAAAAAUGGCUUGGGCAGGAAUUGAAGACGCUACCUACCAGUAAUACAGCAUGAGUAACAACCAUUGGGACAACACACAUCAUAUAAAAUAUUAUGCGUAGGUACAUAUAUAUACCAAUUAAAACGUGACCUAUGGGGGGCUGCAGCCCUCCCCUGUCUCAACAUGGCUCCGCCACUGCUUGUACCCCUUAUAAAUUGAAUUGUUCACCAUUACACACCAAGUUCAAAUAAACCCACGUCAAGAGAAAACAGAAAGCAUAUUCCAGGGACCAGAGAGAGCCAGGGAGCCCAAUUAAAAAAAUGCUACCGAAUAUAGUACAACCAUGACAACUCUUCACAUAUCUACAUAUUGGCAGGUGAAAGAAGCAUGAAAUAUGGCUACUGAUUCAAGCAUCAACCCAUACCAAUAAAAUCAUUGCAGUUAUUACAAAUAACUCUUAAAAAAUGUGAAAUUAUAAUUUUCUUCAUGAUGAGACAUCAUUGACUAGGAAGCCCAAUAAUGUCACAUAUUAGCGGUUUAACCUCUCACAGAUUGUAAAAUAAUUCUGAGAACAUGGUUAUAUCUUAUCCAUAGAAGUCAUAAUAGGGAUUGUGACUGUAGUCAAAGAGGGGGGGGGGGGGGGUGUUAAUCGUAAAUCACAAAAGCAUAGGAUUUAGCAAAUAUAUAUGCUUAUAAAUUCAUAUGUAUGCAUAUAAAAUAGCAUAAAUAACAAAGAAAAAAAAAAUACUUUCUGGUGUGAUUAUGGAGGCAACUAAUCUGACUAUUAUGCCAUGAUUAAGCCAGAAAAAGAUAACAUAUGAGAUUUUAAUCGCCCAGGGAACCAUUAGUCACAUAAUUAAGCGAUUAAGCAAUUUUAGUCGCGAUCUUGACUACUAUGAUCUUAUCUAUCAAAUUAUUUAAAUCUUGUAUGUUGCAAUAACUGUCAGAUUUCUUGCCCACAAUGAGACUGUUGAAUAUCUGUUAAGAUUUAGUUUAUUAUUAGUGCUAUCUCAUAGAGAUAUAGUUAAGAUUUGUUUAUCUAUUUUAGAUUAGUAUCUAUUUAAAUAGAGAUAAUAUCUAUUUAAAUAGAUAUAGGUUGAGAUAGAUUUAGUUUGUUUUAAUCUCUUUGUUAGUCUAUAUAUAUAUUGUAGUCUAGUCAAGUAUUAUGAAUGAAAUACAAGUAUUAUUUUAUCAAAUUCAAGUUGGUAUCAGAGCUAGUUUUGAUCCCUCCGCUGUGAGGGGGCUCCUCCCCCGUGAGCCCCCUCAUGGUGACUUUCCAAAUCUCUUUGGAUUUAUUUUUCUUACUUUGCUUCCGCUUGUUAGUUCUAGCCGUUUUCUUACGGCCUCGUUUCUUUCUGAUUAUGGCUCCCUUUCUCUUGGAACCCUAGUAAUGUUCAACCACUAUCAAAUCAACGGUCGGUUCGCUGUGCCGCCUUCCCAGCCAUCGUUCGUGAUGCCGCUUCCACAGAAAGGUUCGCCAUGCUCUCUUGAUUCUGUUCCAGCGGUCGGUUUCUCCAUAUCUGCCCUUCUUGCGUGUCGUUUGUGGCCGUGACUCGUGUUAAAGUGUCUGAACCAUGCUACUGUGGAAUUCUGUUACUGUGGUUUUUGCAUCUUUGGGUUUCGUUUGCAAGUUGUUGAUGGAGCAGUGGUUUGGUGGACAGUAGUUAUCACUUUUGGUUACUCUUGGUAGUCUAAACUAGGACUUAAAACUACAAUUGGUGUAGUUGUGGCAAGACACAUGGUGCCCUCACGCUUGUUCUCUUUCCUUUUUGCCCACAUGUUCUCCAGAUUCUAAGAAUUUCAGUUCUCGGUUUUUGGCGGUUCUUGCCCAGAACCGGUCUUCCUCUCCUCCCUGUUCCAUUCCAGAAGUCCAUUGGUCCAGAUUGGCAGCAAGGAAGUAUGCUCGUAUUACUCAAAAACUUGUUUCAACGCUAAAUUUAAGGAUCUUAAGAUUCAGAACAUGGUUGGCUCUAGUUUCUUGUUUUGGUUUCUUGUUUCUUUGAUGGCACAGUGUGGUUUUGGAGUUGGAAAAGAUUUUUGCUCUCUAUUAAAGUGCAGAAUUGGUUUUGCAUUGUGUGGUUUGUUGGUGUAUAAAUUUUGGACUAUUAUUGGGAAUAUCUCUCUCCGGCAGCAGCGACUUCUCAAGUUAAUUAUAUUUGUUACAAGCUAUGCAUAUGACAUAUAUGCUCUAGCUUGAGGGGAGGAUCUGGAUAUUGUUAAAUCUUAAUUAUAUUUGUUACAAGCUAUGCAUAUGACAUAUAUGCUAUAGCUUGAGGGGAAGUGUUAGGUAUUGUUAAGUAUCUUAGAGACUACAGUCAGCCACCGCCGCCGGAUUCCAAGCCACGCGCCUCCCAUCUCUCUGCGUGUGAAGUCCACGCGCCGCUAUCUCCGCUUCUUUGUUUUCGCUGGUCCUCUUUGUGUAUCAGCCAGAUUGCGCCGCUCUCUCCGCUGCUUUGUUCUCGCUGGUCCUCUUUGUGUAUCAGCUAGGUUUGGUUUUAAGGAUCCUCUGUUUUGACGUGUGUUGUGCCAUCUCUCAUUGUUGGCCAAGUUUGGUUUGGUUUGGUUUGGUUUGGUUUAGUUUGGUUUGGUUUGGUUUGGUUUAGAGUUUUAACUCUGUUUUGACGCUCAGGUUCCGCAUUGGUUUUUGAGACUUGAGUUGUUGUUUGCGUCUCAUUGUUCGAGAUGCUCUUAUUAUAUUGAUCUUGGCUGACUUUAUGCAAUUUGGUUUUGAAGGUGACAGUGUCACCUUCGUUUGUUUUGUCUCGAUUGUUUGGUUUGUUGGUUUUAGGGCUUCAGCUGCGAGUUGCGCUGGCCCACUCUCUAAUGUUUGAGAGUUGUCUGUGUCAAAGUUGACACCAUUGUUUGUCUUAGAAGCCAUCAAUCGAUCGACCUCAAGUAUGUUUUAUUUCUGUGUGGUUGUUGUUGGUGAGUUGUUGCUUCAGCCUUGUUUUGUUUUCGGGCGUAUUGUUGCUGGUUUUUCGCCCUUGUUUGCUGGCUCAGCUACCCUACGACACUCCAGAAGAAUUGGUUUUUGUCUUGCAUCAAUUUCAGCCAGAUCAAGUAUGAGAAGUUGUUUUUUUCCGCCAAGGAUUUACUAGAAGUUUGAAAGUUAUUCAAUUCAGAGAUUCGCCAAGACCGUCAUUAUUAAGGGAUAUCUAUUAAGAUAAUUUUCUUCUUGGGUUAGAUUUGUUACAAGCUUAAAGCUAAGUAAGCUUUAGCUUGAGGGGGAGUGUUGAAUAUCUGUUAAGAUUUAGUUUAUUAUUAGUGCUAUCUCAUAGAGAUAUAGUUAAGAUUUGUUUAUCUAUUUUAGAUUAGUAUCUAUUUAAAUAGAGAUAAUAUCUAUUUAAAUAGAUAUAGGUUGAGAUAGAUUUAGUUUGUUUUAAUCUCUUUGUUAGUCUAUAUAUAUAUUGUAGUCUAGUCAAGUAUUAUGAAUGAAAUACAAGUAUUAUUUUAUCAAAUUCCAAACUCAUAACAAAAACUAACCAUAAUGAAUUGCCUGUGGUUCCCUAUACUGCAAAAGGGUCUUUUCCUCUUGUCCGAGCCUAUAUUCAUAAUAUUUGUAGUCAGCACAUCGUUCAUCAAAUAAAAACCUGCAUGUUAAAACAAACAACACAUAUUUACAUUACAUUCGAAACUAGGAACAUUAAGCAAAAGAUCAAGGCAACAUAGUUAUGAGUUCACUCUAAACAUACUUGAAAGGUGUAUCGCCAGGAUUUUUUUGGCGUGUAACAUCCUCAAAUUGCCUUCCGUUUUUUGCCACAAAACUUGCUAGUUUGUCAGCAACUUUCUUCACAGUAGGAUCACUAGGUGAAGGAGGUGCUGCAUAUCACUUAUAAAACUUAUUAAUACCGAGAGCAUGAACAAGGGAAUGGAAAUUACUCUCGUAGCAGGCGUGCCAAUACACCAUUCUUGAUAGGUACGUGAGGAAUAAGCUGCAUUCAUGAUACAAAAUAUUCAAGACACUUUCUCCUCUUUGCUGAAUGCCACUUCACUUAGCAAAGAAGGAAUAUACCGAUUACCCCUUCAGUAAUGAAACUGAGCUUAACGUAGAGGAAGGCUCUACUUUAUACGAGAAGAUAAAGGAUGCAAAAAGCAGUGUGAAACUGUGAAUGCAAAUUGUAUGUCUCAUUUAGCUGAGGCAACCAACUUCAAUCUUCCUUCAACUAAAUGCCACUUCACUUGGCAAAGAAGGAAUAUACUAAUUACCCCUUCAGUAAUGAAACUGAGCUUAAUGUAGAGGAGGACUCUACUUUAUAGUUUAUAUGAGAAGAAAAAUGGAAGCAAUAAAUAGUAUGAAUGCAAUUGUAUGCCUCAUUUAGCUGAGGCAACCAACUUUCAAUCUUCCUUCAACUAAAUCAAGGAAGUUCAGUACAUGAUUCACAAAGACACCCAAAAAGACAACUGAUUUUUACUCUUCGUCUACUUAGGCUGUAUUUGGAAGAUCUUAUUUGAGCUUUACCUUAUAGCAUAUACGUUAAUGCAAAUGUCUAGGCAAGCUUAUGAAAAUAACUUAUGACCUACCUAUAAAUUAUUUUGAUCUUAUUUUCAUAUGUUAGUUCAUGAAAUGCUAUCAGAGCCUCUAUGACAAAGUGGUCUAGAGUUUGAUCCUUGAUGUGUCUAUAAUUAUUCUAAUAAAAAGUUGAAUAAAAAGCACAAGGUAGGUAGGUUGUCUAUGCAUUGUCCACGCUUCAAGCCCAUUGGGCUUUUGCAUGAGGGUGCAUGUAAGAAAUAUAAUAUUAAACCAUUCAUGCGUUAUUUACCCAAUAGCUUAAACUUUUGGGAUAAUUACAUCAUGACACACUACAUGGAUCACAACAUAGAACCAUUAUUUGAUUAUUUUACUUGAUAAUUCCUCCCUCAUGCAUUUGAUGGGAAAUAGAAUACUAACCACAAACCAAACAUGUGCAUAUAGCUUAUGUGAGAAGUAAUUACCAACAUCAAGUGGUCUUGAUGAUUGCUCAGCAUCAUCAUCCUGACCCAACUUUUGCCGUUUCGACGGUGCGUCAUUUGAAACAUCCCCGGCAUUAGUUUCUUCUUCAUCCUCAUCAGUCAACUUAAUAGGGGGUGGAACUAGCUUUGAUUUUUGCUUUAAACUGAAAGCAAGUUUGCCACUAGAACCAGCCUGGGAAGUUUUUCGUGCAUCAGUAGCCUUACCAAUGGAAGGAUUAGGAGUCAGCGGUCUAGAAACAACUUUAAUUGGUUUAGAAUCCUCUAAUUUGGUAUUCUUCCCCUUCCCCUGCUCUUGUUGAAGCUGCUUGAACCUCGCCAUGAACGAACCAUCAUUAACAAAAAGGCUAUGAGGUGGUCCCUUAUCCAUUAGAUAACAGCCAAGAGAAAUGGUGUAGCUUACAGCAACUCACUGUUUGACAAGCAAGCUAAAAAGAUUUUCAGAUGAUGCAGUUAAAUUUAAAGUCUGACUGAGUUUAUUUCGUUCUGAUAUAUGAUGUCAUUUAAAACUUACAAAAAGAAUGUAGUGUUGUAUAUUAACAAUUAAUGCCCUAAUAAAGAGUACAGAUCACAAACAAAAAAAUAUGAAUUUCAGACCAGAAGUCAUCCACAACAAAACCCUGCUUAGAAGUUAGAACACAAACUGAUAAUAACUCAAAAGCAAAUUCUAAAAUGUGAAUGCUCCUAAGUCAUUUUAUCUAAAACAGUUUAACUGAUAAUGAAAAUGUAAAACUUCCAGGCCAAUUUAAACUAGCCAACAUUAAGCUUGCAUCCUUGCUACUUCAUGUAAAAAUACCAACUUUUUUCUCUGCCUUUGUAAUCAUUGAGCACAUGUGUCAUGACCUAAGUUUCAUUACCUAAGUGUCAUCAAAUUGGCAUACAAUAACAUGCCAUUACCUAACUUUCCCCUGAAAUCUUCAGAUGAAAAUCAACCUUGAAAAAAUUCCAAUACCCUAUAAAGUAAAAGUUCAUGUAAAUUCAUAUGAAACCAUAAAAACCAAUCAAAUCCUAGACCAGAUCCUACAAACCGAGAAAUCCUAAAGCAAAAGCUACCUACAGGUGAAUUCAUAUGAUAAUAGAGUGAAAAUUUGCAAGCGAUGAAGUUGAUUGAAUCAAACCCCCAAUCGAUUCGUACAAUAUGAUCCCGAAACAAAACCCUAAAAAUCAACAAAACCCUAAAAAUCAAUGUCCACACUCUCUCAAAAUUCUUCAAGAGAAUUACAUCAACUAAGGAACAACAGAGGAAAGAAGAACGAGAGAUAAACCUAAUGACGUUGUUCUCUGUGAAAUUUGAUGCAAUCGAUGAUGAUUUGGAUAAAAAUCUGUGUUUGAUGAACAACAACGAUGGAGAAGCAAAGAGGGUUAUCGAUGAAUCAUGAAUUGCUCACCGUUUCGUUGAAUGAAGCACAACUUUUAUUGGAUGUUAAUAUGUUAUCAAUGGCCAAAAACAAAUAAAGGGAACAAAAAAGAGUGAAUAGUAUAUUUGGUCCUUGAAGUUGUAGUGUCAUCUACUUUCAUCCUUGGGUGUCAAUUUGGUUCCUGAAAUUGUGUAUUCAGGCUCAAUGUAAUCCCUGCAUUAAAAAUUUAAAUAUAUCUCCUUUAACCACUUCCCUCUCCUUUCACCCCUUGUUUCUCCUCCUUCACCACCACUACUCACCCGCCUUCUCCUACCCCCUUUCUCCCUCCCUCCCCACCGCUGCCCCUCUAUUCCUCCGCCUCUUUCCCACCUUCCUCUACCUUUCGCACCGUCUGAAGGACGAUAUUGAUGUCGCAUUGAGUUAUGUAGGUAGAGACAGACAUCAACGUAAACACGAAUGUCGCUUUUAAGUCUGGUGAACUUGUGGGUUUAUGGUGGCUCGUAAGUUCGGGGAGAGACUCUUGCUUAUGCUUUGGCUAAAGAAUAUGGGACUUUGUUGAUAGUGUUGGCUGAAACUCUAGUGCUGCGGUGGACUAUAUCUUUAUCUUUGGAGCUUGUCUUUCGUGAUGUUGUCUUUGAGAUCACAUAUAGUGUCGUGCUACAUGGAGUGUGGACGUGUUCGCAUUCAAAUGUGUCUUAUUUGACUUCUAGUGUUCGUGGUUGUAUUUAUGCAUUCCAACAUUUUUAGUUCAUUUCAAAUUUUGUUAGGCGUAGAAAAAUUAAUUUAACUGUUGAUUUUAUGACUAAGUUGCACUUUCAACACGUUAUUUUAUGUGGAUUGAUGAGUGUCCGGAUGGUUUAGUUAGUAUUCUUAUCUAUGCUCUUCUUUGUCCCUAAGGGUAAGUUCAAGUGGUAAGAGCUACGAAACAUAACAGUUAGAGAGGAAUGAAAGGUAAAGAGUUCAGGGUUCAACACGGAGGAGAGAUUAAUUUAUAAACAUUCCUAACAACAACAUUUCCCUAGAAAAAAAAACUUAUGUUUCUUCUUUGAUUAAGUGAUAAUGAGCUCAUUUCCUUUCUAAAAAAAUCAUGUCAUAUCACUUUUUUUAUGGAUUGUAUAAGGGCACCAUCCCGUUAGUUGUUUUACAUUUUUCACCCUAUAGCAAAGCAAAUUCUAAUGAUGACCACAAUCUGACAAAUAUUAUGUCCAUCAUAGAUUUGGGCAGGGUGAUGAGAUUUUUCGGCGCCAACCAUGAUUGGCCAUAAGAACUUUUUACUAGCAUGUAAUAAUACUAAUUUACAACCCACUCAAAUAAAGAAAGUCUAUAACCUGAAAUCACUGAAUUCAGGGAAAUUCACCGAACGCAAAGAGCCGUUUCAUCAUAAAAUCCUAGACAUCAAAUGUGAUAAUCAUUGAGAUAAUAAAGUUCAACAGACACAUCAAUAAUCAUAGAGACGCUGCACAUAGCAGCAUAUAUAGUACAGUACAAUAUAUAUAUAAAGAACAAAAAUUGAACCCAAUUAAAUUUUUUCAAUAAUAUAAUUCUAGACGGAUUCAUCUGCUAGAUUGCAUUAUUGCAAUCCCUCUGCUGCUCUCAUCAAGGUGAUUAAACGGCUGCUUAGUAGCUUUGAUCAAGUCUUAGUAAAGCGUACAUAUAGAGAAGCAAAUGGAGUUAUGUUGACUCACUAGCUAUGAAUUGUAAUACUCUUGUAGUCUUGUCUGUUUAGUCUCUUUCUUUGUUUGUUCUUGUAAUACUCUACUUAGAGGGUAGUUUUGGACUUUAAGCCCGUAGAAAGUAAAAAAAAAAAAAAAACAAAGUAUUCCCCUAAUUAAUUUUUUUUGAAAUUCUCCUUAAAGUUGUUAUCAUUGCUAAUUUGCUAUUAUGACUCUCAGAUGCUUAAUUAAGCUAAUCCCAACAUAUGCAUGUUGAUGUUGCAUGUGCAAACCACUCAACUAUAACAAAAACCCACGUUACAUUGUUUUUUCCUUUUCUCUAAACUCUUUAUCCAUAGUUGUUUAGGCUGAGUUACCGUCCAAUUUUUAAAAUAUUAACUAACACACCACACCACCAUCAGUAACCCAGUAUUUAUGUACCGCAAAAGUAGUUUUUAUUCACCAAACCACGUGUAUAUAAACCAUGCAGACUCACCUUCAUUGCAAUAUUGCAUUUGCAUCUGCAUUCAACACAAACGACACAAACACAACCACAUGGCUUCCUCACUCUCCUUCCUAACUCUGCUUCUUCUCUUCGCCGUUAUCUCCGCCGUCAAGUCCUGCCCGCCGUCAGACCUGGCAGCACUUACAGCCUUCAAAACUGCCCUGACCGAGUCGUCAUCCCUCGGCAUUUUCAAAACCUGGUCAGGCAACGACUGCCGGAGCUUUUACGGCGUCGCCUGCGACCCCACCACUGGCCGCGUCACCGAUAUCAGCCUCCGCGGCGAGUCUGAAGACCCCAUCUUUCAAAACCGCUCCGGUUACAUGACCGGAAAACUCUCGCCGGAGAUUUGCAAGCUUGACAGCCUCUCCACCCUCGCCGUCGCCGACUGGAAAGCCAUCUCCGGCGAAAUCCCUCCCUGCAUCACCUCACUCUCCUCCCUCCGAAUCCUCGACCUCAC
rnacentral:lncRNA from 1 species